rnacentral:rRNA from 1 species
GUAACGGCUCACCAAGGCGACGAUCCCUAGCUGGUCUGAGAGGAUGACCAGCCACACUGGAACUGAGACACGGUCCAGACUCCUACGGGAGGCAGCAGUGGGGAAUAUUGCACAAUGGGCGCAAGCCUGAUGCAGCCAUGCCGCGUGUAUGAAGAAGGCCUUCGGGUUGUAAAGUACUUUCAGCGGGGAGGAAGGGAGUAAAGUUAAUACCUUUGCUCAUUGACGUUACCCGCAGAAGAAGCACCGGCUAACUCCGUGCCAGCAGCCGCGGUAAUACGGAGGGUGCAAGCGUUAAUCGGAAUUACUGGGCGUAAAGCGCACGCAGGCGGUUUGUUAAGUCAGAUGUGAAAUCCCCGGGCUCAACCUGGGAACUGCAUCUGAUACUGGCAAGCUUGAGUCUCGUAGAGGGGGGUAGAAUUCCAGGUGUAGCGGUGAAAUGCGUAGAGAUCUGGAGGAAUACCGGUGGCGAAGGCGGCCCCCUGGACGAAGACUGACGCUCAGGUGCG